UACGGGGGGGGCAAGCGUUGUUCGGAAUUACUGGGCGUAAAGGGCUCGUAGGCGGCCAACUAAGUCAGACGUGAAAUCCCUCGGCUUAACCGGGGAACUGCGUCUGAUACUGGAUGGCUUGAGUUUGGGAGAGGGAUGCGGAAUUCCAGGUGUAGCGGUGAAAUGCGUAGAUAUCCGGAGGAACACCAGUGGCGAAGGCGACUUUCUGGCCUGUUCUUGACGCUGAGGCGCGAAAGCUAGGGGAGCAAACGGG
rnacentral:rRNA from 1 species